rnacentral:rRNA from 1 species
UGGGGAAUAUUGCACAAUGGAGGGAACUCUGAUGCAGCGACGCCGCGUGAGUGAUGAAGGAAUUCGUUUCGUAAAACUCUGUUCUAUGGGAAGAAAAGGACUGUACCAUAGGAGAAAGCUCCGGCUAAAUACGUGCCAGCAGCCGCGGUAAUACGUAUGGAGCGAGCGUUGUCCGGAAUUAUUGGGCGUAAAGGGUGCGCAGGCGGCUUUACAAGUUGGAUGUGAAAUAUUGUGGCUCAACCACAAACGUGCAUCCAAAAAUGCAAAGCUUGAGUUAAGGAGAGGUAAGUGGAAUUCCUGGUGUAGCGGUGGAAUGCGUAGAUAUCAGGAGGAAUACCGGUGGCGAAGGCGACUUACUGGACUUAAACUGACGCUCAGGCACGAAAGCGUGGGGAGCAAACAGG